CAAAAUAUUCCUUGAUCAAGAUUCGACAACUCUGUGCGGAUUGUUCUUAAAAUAGCUUUUUCUUGGAAGAUGCAGAAAUUUAAAGCUGUGUUUUUAUUUUUUGUCGCUACCGCGGUGUAUACUUCUUCUAUUGAAGCGUGGCAUAUGGGGAAUAACCAAGUUGGCCAACCUAAAGGUGAUGUCCCAAAAGGUUUUCGAGGAUAUAACCAGCCAAGAAUGUCUGACGAGGACACAAGAUUGAAAGCGAAGCGGCAUCGCUAUGAAGACUGGGACUCAUAUCCGUACGCGGAAGAAAUACAUAGUGACGACUAAGCUCAAGAAAGCAGAAGUAACCAAGUUAUAUUGCAGAAUAGAUUAAUAACUAAUCAUUAUAGGAAAUAAACGAUCGAUUCUCGGUUCAAGAAUAAUCAGUGAACUCAAAUAUUUCAUUUUUUUUGCAAGAACUGUGAAAGGAAAUGCUCUUGAAGACAGGAGCAUUCCCAAAUCCCUGUUUAUUAAGAGCUGUGCACAAAAUAAUUUUGAAACGAGAUCUUAGAGAACUGAACUGACUAAAGCGUGAAAUGUGCGGAGGUCGCCUUCCCUUUUUUAAUUUUCAAGGUUUAUGCGUUUACGUUGAACUUCGCAUAGGGAUCUGUGUAAACAUUUAUCACUAUUUAUUCAAAAUAAUCUUUUCUUUCUCGUAAUUUGUUUUGUUUGUUCGUACCUUCUUUAUCUGUUUGCUGUGGGAACAACUAUCCUCGACGGGAUGACAGGAAGUAAACCGUUCGUUGCUCAUUUCCGGUUCCGGUUUGUUUAAUGUAUUCCUGUAGCUCUUUUCACGUAAAAAAAAUGAACAAAAGGCAUUAACGGUAAGCAGAAAAAUAAAGAAUUUGAUAGUGGGAUUUUUCUCCUGUUUAACGUGCUUUUCCUUUUGAACGCACAAAUUUAAGAUUUAAUAAAGCAACACGACUUGAACUAA